GACGUAGGGGGCAAGCGUUGUUCGGAAUUAUUGGGCGUAAAGCGCUCGUAGGCGGGACAGGAAGUUCGUGUUGAAAGACCUCGGCUCAACUGAGGGACCGGCUCGAAUACUCUUGUUCUUGAGGCAAUCAGAGGGUGAUGGAAUUCCCGGUGUAGCGGUGAAAUGCGUAGAUAAUCGGGAGGAACACCAGUGGCGAAGGCGAUCACCUGGGGUUGUUCUGACGCUGAGGAGCGAAAGCUAGGGGAGCAAACGGGG
rnacentral:rRNA from 1 species